rnacentral:rRNA from 1 species
AUACGGAGGGCGCAAGCGUUAAUCGGAAUUACUGGGCGUAAAGCGUACGUAGGCGGUUUAUUAAGUCAGAUGUGAAAGCCCCGGGCUUAACCUGGGAACUGCAUUUGAAACUAGUAGACUAGAGUAUGGUAGAGGGGGGUAGAAUUCCUAGUGUAGCGGUGAAAUGCGUAGAUAUUAGGAGGAAUACCAGUGGCGAAGGCGGCCCCCUGGACCAAUACUGACGCUGCGGUACGAAAGCGUGGGGAGCGAACAGGAUUAGAAACCCCGGUAGUCC